GCGUAGCUAAUACCGCAUACGCCCUACGGGGGGAAGCAGGGGAUCGCCAGACCUUGCACUAAUAGAGCGGCCGAUAUCGGAUUAGCUAGUUGGUGGGGGUAACGGCUCACCAAGGCGACGAUCCGUAGCUGGUUUGAGAGGACGACCAGCCACACUGGGACUGAGACACGGCCCAGACUCCUACGGGAGGCAGCAGUGGGGAAUUUUGGACAAUGGGGGAAACCCUGAUCCAGCCAUCCCGCGUGUGCGAUGAAGGCCUUCGGGGUUGUAAAGCACUUUUGGCAGGAAAGAAACGUCAUGGGCUAAUACCCCGUGAAACUGACGGUACCUGCAGAAUAAGCACCGGCUAACUACGUGCCAGCAGCCGCGGUAAUACGUAGGGUGCAAGSGUUAAUCGGAAUUACUGGGCGUAAAGCGUGCGCAGGCGGUUCGGAAAGAAAGAUGUGAAAUCCCAGAGCUUAACUUUGGAACUGCAUUUUUAACUACCGAGCUAGAGUGUGUCAGAGGGAGGUGGAAUUCCGCGUGUAGCAGUGAAAUGCGUAGAUAUGCGGAGGAACACCGAUGGCGAAGGCAGCCUCCUGGGAUAACACUGACGCUCAUGCACGAAAGCGUGGGGAGCAAACAGGAUUAGAUAC
rnacentral:rRNA from 1 species